ACGGAAGGCAGCAGUGAGGGAUAUUGGGCAAUGGGCGAAAGCCUGACCAGCAACGCCGCGUGAAGGAAGAAGGUCUCCGGAUUGUAAACUUUUGUCUUAUGGGACGAUAAUGACGGUACCAUAGGAGGAAGCCACGACUAACUACGUGCCAGCAGUCGCGGUAAUACGUAGGUGGCAAGCGUUAUCCGGAAUUAUUGGGUGUAAAGGGUGCGUAGGCGGGGUGUCAAGUCAGAUGUGAAAUCUCAGUGCUUAACGCUGAGACUGCAUUUGAAACUGAUGCUCUUGAGUGAAGUAGAGGUAAGCGGAAUUCCCAGUGUAGCGGUGAAAUGCGUAGAUAUUGGGAGGAACACCAGUGGCGAAGGCGGCUUACUGGGCUUUUACUGACGCUGAGGCACGAAAGUGUGGGGAGCAAACAGGAUUAGAUACCCUGGUA
rnacentral:rRNA from 1 species